ACAGGAAUUACUCAGGGGUCUUGUUAAAAUGCAGAUUCUGAUUCACUAGGUCUGAUUGACUAGAGAGUCUGCCUUUCUAACAAGCUCCCAGGGGACACCAGU
rnacentral:pre_miRNA from 1 species